rnacentral:lncRNA from 1 species
GUGUCGCCAGGAUUGUGGGGGGAGAGAGAAAGAGAUCUUUUACCGGUAAGUUGGGGCGGUGCAGCCAUCUCUCCCGGCGCAGGACCGGCCCCCGCCGCCCCCACCGCCCCCGCCGCCCCCACCAAACUUACACUCCCGACCCUCGCUCCGCCGCCCCGCACGCUCAUUCCCGCCGACAAAAACGGAGGGGAAGAAAAAAAAAAGCCAACGAGCAAAAUGCAAUCCUUGGAGGAGGAGGAGGAGGAGAAAGCAGGGCAACAGCAGCAGCAACCGAGCUCGAUGCCCUGCGGGAGGUUUGCAGCGAGGAGGCUCCCGCCUGCCCCGCAAAAACGCCCCCCGGUUCUCCCUUCCCCCUCUCCCGGGCUCGGUGCGGGAGCGGGUGGGAGGGAAGGAGGGAGGGAAGGGGGGGAAAAACCCUGGGAAAGCCAAAGCAGCGGGGGUGGGGUUUUAGGGUUACUACCUACCAGCUGAUUCCAGCGGCCUUUCUUCCGCCGCCCUGUCAUCUUGGAGGAGCCGAGAGAGAGGGAAAAAGUGCGAGGGUGCGGGAGUCGGUCCUCUGUGCGGGUCUGUGCCUGAGCGGGAGAGGAGGAAAAAGACAGGCCGACUCCUUCCUCAAUUCCCUCCCCACCUUCCUCCUCCUCCUCCUCCCCCGAUGCACAGGAAUCUAG